rnacentral:rRNA from 1 species
CCUACGGGAGGCAUCAGUGGGGAAUAUUGGACAAUGGGGGCAACCCUGAUCCAGCCAUGCCGCGUGUGUGAAGAAGGCCCUCGGGUUGUAAAGCACUUUCAGUGAGGAAGAACGCCUGGUGGUUAAUACCCAUCAGGAAAGACAUCACUCACAGAAGAAGCACCGGCUAACUCCGUGCCAGCAGCCGCGGUAAUACGGAGGGUGCGAGCGUUAAUCGGAAUUACUGGGCGUAAAGCGCGCGUAGGUGGCUUGAUAAGCCGGUUGUGAAAGCCCCGGGCUCAACCUGGGAACGGCAUCCGGAACUGUCAAGCUAGAGUGCAGGAGAGGAAGGUAGAAUUCCCGGUGUAGCGGUGAAAUGCGUAGAGAUCGGGAGGAAUACCAGUGGCGAAGGCGGCCUUCUGGACUGACACUGACGCUGAGGUGCGAAAGCGUGGGUAGCAAACAGGAUUAGAUACCCGAGUAGUC